GGAGGGAGCGAGCGUUGUUCGGAAUCACUGGGCGUAAAGGGCGCGUAGGCGGCCGAGUAAGUCGUGUGUGAAAGACCGGGGGCUCAACUCCGUGUACUGCAUGCGAUACUGCUCGGCUAGAGAAAGGUAGAGGCGAGUGGAAUUCCCGGUGUAGCGGUGGAAUGCGUAGAUAUCGGGAAGAACACCUGUGGCGAAGGCGGCUCGCUGGGCCUUUUCUGACGCCGAAGUGCGAAAGCGUGGGGAGCAAACAGGAUUAGAUACCCUGGUAGUCCACGCCGUAAACGAUGGGCACUAGGCGUUGGGAGGAUUGACCCUCUCAGUGCCGUAGCUAACGCGUUAAAUGCCCCGCCUGGGGAGUACGGCCGCAAAGGCUG
rnacentral:rRNA from 1 species